GACACAGCCUGGCUGAAUAUUUUUAUUCCCGUUUCACAGUUGAGUAAACUCUGACUCGAGAAGUUAAGUGCCUGGCUUGAAGUCCCACGGACAGUACACAGCAGAUCUUCUAACUCAAGUUCUUCUCUGUUUCUGCCCAGGACUCCAGCAAGGGAUCCAGAUGCCUUAGGGUGGAGGAGCUGGGACCAGAAUGGACAUCUUCUUGGGAAAUCAGAGGAUAAUGAAGGUGCACACCAAGAACGAACGGAGCCUCAUGGCUAGGUAAAAUGUCCACGCACUCCAGAUCACUACAUAGGACCAGAAUGCUGGUGUCCGGGAUCGAGCUGCCCACAGCUCUGCCAUCUUUUGGACUCCAUGUCAGGGCAGGGAUUGAAGAGGGGGAGGCCUACUCAGCUCCUAUAACCCAAGAUGAUGAAAUGAAGGCACAGAGAAAUGAAAUAGAUUUCUCAGGAUCAUACAGAGAAGAAGUGGUAGAACUGGGAUUUGAACCCAUAUCAUCUGACUGCAGAGCCUGUGCUCUUAACAUCUUCACAGGACUGGAAGGCAUUGCUUGCUAGUGAUUUCGUACCUAUCUGUCUUCAACUUCUCUGUUUUCUGUGGGAAACCAAGUCAGGAGACAAAAACCUUUUCUACCUCCUUUCAAAUGUUUUAGGACAGCAAGGAGUGUUUCCGCUGAAUUUUCUCUUUUGAGGUUUAAAUAUCCCUUCUCUCAAGUGUUCCAUAAGGUGAGCUGUUUCUAGCUCCCUCACCAUCUUGGUCAUCCUGCUGAAUAAAUCUGAGUUUGUAAUAAUUCUCAUAGAAGAUGAUACUAGAAGUAAGGGCAAUAUUGCACAUGUGGUUAAACCAGCAUGGAGUAAGAUGAGAUAAUG